rnacentral:rRNA from 1 species
UACGUAGGGUGCAAGCGUUAAUCGGAAUUACUGGGCGUAAAGCGUGCGCAGGCGGUUGUGUAAGUCUGUCGUGAAAUCCCCGGGCUUAACCUGGGAAUUGCAUUUGUGACUGCACGACUAGAGUGUGUCAGAGGGGGGUGGAAUUCCACGUGUAGCAGUGAAAUGCGUAGAUAUGUGGAAGAACACCAGUGGCGAAGGCGGCUCACUGGUCCGGUACUGACGCUGAGGUGCGAAAGCGUGGGGAGCAAACAGG